AAUAAUAUUCGACCAUUGUUCUAGCCUUUUUCUUAUGGUUUUCUUCAAGUGAUUGCUUCUCCUCAGAUGAGGCCUUGUUUUGCUCUUCUUGAUCGCGCUUUUCUUGCUCAUUCAGUAACAUCAAUGAUGUGAUUAUACCUUUCAACGGUUUUCUCCUCUUCUUGUUGCUGCUGCUGCCGCCGUUAUUGCUGUCUUCUUCAAAUGAAUUGGUGUCAUCCUCAUAGCUUUCUUGCCUAUCUUUACUUUGCCGCUUCCUCAUGGUGUUGGAUUCAUUCAUUUGGCUGAAUGACGACGGAAGCAAGGUAUUGAAAAAGGAGAAGUAGUGUUCUGAGUUGGGUAGAGAAGAAGAGAGUUUCAUAUAGGAAUAGGUGAUAGAAGAAAUGGGAAAAGAAUUG
rnacentral:misc_RNA from 1 species